UUACGGCCAUAUCACGUUGGAACAACGUUUCUCGUUCGAUCACCGAAGUUAAGCAACGUCGAGCCUAGUCAGUACCUAGAUGGGUGGGCG